rnacentral:rRNA from 1 species
AUUGAACGCUGGCGGCAUGCUUUACACAUGCAAGUCGAACGGCAGCGCGGGCUUCGGCCUGGCGGCGAGUGGCGAACGGGUGAGUAAUACAUCGGAACGUGCCCAGUAGUGGGGGAUAGCUCGGCGAAAGCCGGAUUAAUACCGCAUACGACCUGAGGGUGAAAGCGGGGGAUCUUCGGACCUCGCGCUAUUGGAGCGGCCGAUGGCAGAUUAGCUAGUUGGUGGGGUAAAGGCCUACCAAGGCGACGAUCUGUAGCUGGUCUGAGAGGACGACCAGCCACACUGGGACUGAGACACGGCCCAGACUCCUACGGGAGGCAGCAGUGGGGAAUUUUGGACAAUGGGCGAAAGCCUGAUCCAGCAAGGCCGCGUGUGUGAUGAAGGCCUUCGGGUUGUAAAGCACUUUUGGCGGGAACGAAAAGGACUGUGCCAAUACCACGGUUCGAUGACGGUACCCGCAGAAUAAGCACCGGCUAACUACGUG